rnacentral:rRNA from 1 species
CUACGGGAGGCAGCAGUCGGGAAUAUUGGACAAUGGGGGAAACCCUGAUCCAGCCAUGCCGCGUGUGUGAAGAAGGCCCUAGGGUUGUAAAGCACUUUUAGUAGUGAGGAAGGSCCAKUAAUUAAUACYUWSUGGUAUUGACGUUACCUACAGAAUAAGCACCGGCUAAUUYUGUGCCAGCAGCCGCGGUAAUA